rnacentral:lncRNA from 1 species
AAAAAAGUCGAACAGGCCAAAGGUUCGUGGGCAGAUCUACUACCAGAGAUCCUGUGGGCGUAUAGAACCACUGAAAAGACACCCACCGGAGAAACCCCGUUCUCACUAGCAUAUGGAAUGGAAGCACUAAUCCUAACAGAGCUAAGCAUUCCAACAGUCAGAGUAUUAUCCUAUGACAUGGAAGAAAACAUGAGAUCAUG